rnacentral:rRNA from 1 species
ACGGGAGGCAGCAGUGGGGAAUAUUGGACAAUGGGCGCAAGCCUGAUCCAGCCAUGCCGCGUGAGUGAUGAAGGCCUUAGGGUUGUAAAGCUCUUUUGUCCGGGACGAUAAUGACGGUACCGGAAGAAUAAGCCCCGGCUAACUUCGUGCCAGCAGCCGCGGUAAUACGAAGGGGGCUAGCGUUGCUCGGAAUCACUGGGCGUAAAGGGCGCGUAGGCGGCCAUUCAAGUCGGGGGUGAAAGCCUGUGGCUCAACCACAGAAUUGCCUUCGAUACUGUUUGGCUUGAGUAUGGCAGAGGUCAGUGGAACUGCGAGUGUAGAGGUGAAAUUCGUAGAUAUUCGCAAGAACACCAGUGGCGAAGGCGGCUGACUGGGCCAUUACUGACGCUGAGGCGCGAAAGCGUGGGGAGCAAACAGGAUUAGAUACCCUGGUA